rnacentral:rRNA from 1 species
UACAGAGGGUGCGAGCGUUAAUCGGAAUUACUGGGCGUAAAGCGUGCGUAGACGGUUAUUUAAGUCGGAUGUGAAAGCCCCGGGCUCAACCUGGGAACUGCGUCUGAUACUGGAUGGCUUGAAUCCGGGAGAGGGAUGCAGAAUUCCAGGUGUAGCGGUGAAAUGCGUAGAUAUCUGGAGGAACACCGGUGGCGAAGGCGGCAUCCUGGACCGGUAUUGACACUGAGGCGCGAAAGCCAGGGGAGCAAACGGG